rnacentral:tRNA from 2 species
UUGGUGUUGGGCCGAUCGGUCAGCUCGGUGGCCCCCGACGGCGCCUCGAGGUCGUCGAUGUCGUCCUCGUCGUCGGUCUCGUCGACGUCAUCGAC